rnacentral:rRNA from 1 species
UGGGGAAUUUUACGCAAUGGGGGAAACCCUGACGUAGCGACACCGCGUGAGCGAAGAAGCCUUUUGGGGUGUAAAGCUCUGUCAGCUGGAACGAACACAAUGACGGUACCAGCAGAGGAAGCAUCGGCUAACUACGUGCCAGCAGCCGCGGUAAGACGUAGGAUGCAAGCGUUGUCCGGAUUCAUUGGGCGUAAAGAGUUCGUAGGUGGUCUGUUAAGUUUGGUGUUAAAGAGCGGGGCCCAACCCCGAUAGUGCACUGAAUACUGGCAGACUUGAGUGCGGUAGAGGUAAGUGGAAUUCCAAGUGUAGCGGUGAAAUGCAUAGAUAUUUGGAAGAACACCGGUGGCGUAAGCGACUUACUGGGCCGUAACUGACACUGAGGAACGAAAGCCGGGGUAGCGAA